AGGAGGAAGGCAUAGUUAAAAAUACCACUACAAAGGAGAAGAAGUUAAAUGCGUCGGAGACUCUGGAAAAACUGGGCGCAAUAAUGACUUGGCAUAACAACACCCUCUACGCCGAUGCGGAUGUCAUAUUCCUCGUAACAGGGUUACAGCUUGAUAUCAAAGAAUCGUGGUGGACCGGGGAGUGGUAUGGACUGUCUUAUCGUCGAUCCAUCUGUUUUGGAAACUCUACUGUGGGAAUCAUUCAUGACGAUGGGGCCAAUUUCAACGGCGUACGACAGACAGCACUUCAAAUAGCCCUUA